AGUGAACGCUGGCGGUAGGCCUAACACAUGCAAGUCGAACGGCAGCACAGUAAGAGCUUGCUCUUACGGGUGGCGAGUGGCGGACGGGUGAGGUAUACAUCGGAAUCUACUUUUUCGUGGGGGAUAACGUAGGGAAACUUACGCUAAUACCGCAUACGACCUACGGGUGAAAGCAGGGGAUCUUCGGACCUUGCGCGAUUGAAUGAGCCGAUGUCGGAUUAGCUAGUUGGCGGGGUAAAGGCCCACCAAGGCGACGACCCGUAGCUGGUCUGAGAGGAUGAUCAGCCACACUGGAACUGAGACACGGUCCAGACUCCUACGGGAGGCAGCAGUGGGGAAUAUUGGACAAUGGGCGCAAGCCUGAUCCAGCCAUACCGCGUGGGUGAAGAAGGCCUUCGGGUUGUAAAGCCCUUUUGUUGGGAAAGAAAAGCAGCAGGUUAAUACCCCGCUGUUCUGACGGUACCCAAAGAAUAAGCACCGGCUAACUUCGUG
rnacentral:rRNA from 1 species